rnacentral:tRNA from 1 species
GGGUCGUUAGCUCAGCUGGUAGAGCAGCGGACUUUUAAUCCGUUGGUCGCAGGUUCAAAUCCCGCACGACCCA